rnacentral:tRNA from 1 species
GUAGAUAUAGCUUAAUUAAGACAAAAAGCGUCUAAUUAUAAUUAGAAGAAACCAUUUCUACAAU